AUAUUCCCAACAGUCUACAAGUGAAGAUGAGCAUCAAAGCAUCUGUAAAAAGUGAAAUCUGCAGAGACAGAGUUUAUGGAAGGACAGAGAGAACAUGAAGAUCCAGAACCCUGCAGAAUCAAACACACUGAAGAACAAACAGAUCUAAUGGAGGAGAAAAUACAUCAUGUCAAAACUGGAGAAAAAACUCUCUCACAGACUGAAAGUAUUUCUUUAUUGAAAAGAAGAGACAAGAAAAGUUUCACCUGCACUCAGUGUGGAAAGAGUUUGACAUGCAAACAGAGUCUCACCGUUCACAUGAGGAUCUACACUGGAGAGAAACCAUACCGAUGUG